CACCCUCCAAGCUCUGCUUGAUGUUGGACGCUGUGUUUAGGCACACGUCUGGAACUUGUAGGCGUCCGUUCUGUCGAGACACCGCGAGCGUAGCAAGACUUUUUGUCAUUUUCGCUUCUGUCGGGACUCCAGCGGACCGCCCUUACGAUUAGGGAGUCAACCCCCUAAUCAUUUUCAAGA
rnacentral:misc_RNA from 1 species